UGGCUGAGUGGUAAAGCAUCAGUUUUAUGAACCUGAGGUCCUAGGUUCAAAUCCUGG
rnacentral:tRNA from 1 species